UACGGAGGGUGCAAGCGUUAUCCGGAUUCACUGGGUUUAAAGGGUGCGUAGGCGGGUAUAUAAGUCAGUGGUGAAAGCUCCGAGCUUAACUUGGAAACUGCCAUUGAUACUGUAUAUCUUGAAUGUCGUUGAGGUUAGCGGAAUGUUGCAUGUAGCGGUGAAAUGCUUAGAUAUGUUACAGAACACCAAUUGUGAAGACAGCUAACUAAGCGAUGAUUGACGCUGAGGCACGAAGGCCAGGGGAGCAAACGGG
rnacentral:rRNA from 1 species